rnacentral:rRNA from 1 species
CCUACGUGAGGCAGCAGUGGGGAAUAUUGCACAAUGGGGGAAACCCUGAUGCAGCGACGCCGCGUGAGUGACGAAGUAAUUCGUUAUGUAAAGCUCUAUCAGCAGGGAAGAAAAUGACGGUACCUGAGUAAGAAGCCCCGGCUAACUACGUGCCAGCAGCCGCGGUAAUACGUAGGGGGCAAGCGUUAUCCGGAUUUACUGGGUGUAAAGGGAGCGUAGACGGCAGUGCAAGUCUGGAGUGAAAGGCGGGGGCUCAAACUCCGGACUGCUCUGGAAACUGUACGGCUGGAGUGCAGGAGAGGUAAGUGGAAUUCCUAGUGUAGCGGUGAAAUGCGUAGAUAUUAGGGGAACACCAGUGGCGAAGGCGGCUUACUGGACUGUAACUGACGUUGAGGCUCGAAAGCGUGGGGAGCAAACAGGAUUAGAUACCCCAGUAGUC